rnacentral:lncRNA from 1 species
UCUCAACACUGACACUUUAGUAAACAGUGCCACCUAGUGGCUAAACGUGAUAAGGUGGUCCAGUCUCAUCAACGCUGACACUAGUAAACAGUGCCACCUAGUGGCUAAACGUGAUAAGGUGGUCCAGUCUCAUCAACGCUGACACUAGUAAACAGUACCACCUAGUGGCUAAACGUGAUAAGGUGGUCCAGUCUCAUCAACGCUGACACUAGUAAACAGUGCCACCUAGUGGCUAAACGUGAUAAGGUGGUCCAGUCUCAUCAACGCUGACACUAGUAAACAGUACCACCUAGUGGCUAAAC